AUUGAACGCUGGCGGCAGGCUUAACACAUGCAAGUCGAGCGGAGAUGAGGUGCUUGCACCUUAUCUUAGCGGCGGACGGGUGAGUAAUGCUUAGGAAUCUGCCUAUUAGUGGGGGACAACAUUCCGAAAGGAAUGCUAAUACCGCAUACGUCCUACGGGAGAAAGCAGGGGAUCUUCGGACCUUGCGCUAAUAGAUGAGCCUAAGUCGGAUUAGCUAGUUGGUGGGGUAAAGGCCUACCAAGGCGACGAUCUGUAGCGGGUCUGAGAGGAUGAUCCGCCACACUGGGACUGAAACACGGCCCAGACUCCUACGGGAGGCAGCAGUGGGGAAUAUUGGACAAUGGGGGGAACCCCGAUCCAGCCAUGCCGCGUGUGUGAAGAAGGCCUUAUGGUUGUAAAGCACUUUAAGCGAGGAGGAGGCUACUGAGACUAAUACUCUUGGAUAGUGGACGUUACUCGCAGAAUAAGCACCGGCUAACUCUGUACCAGCCGCCGCCGUAAUAC
rnacentral:rRNA from 1 species